rnacentral:rRNA from 1 species
UGAUGCAGCGACGCCGCGUGGGUGAAGGAGUGCUUCGGCAUGUAAAGCCCUAUCGGCAGGGAAGAAGCAAGACGGUACCUGACUAAGAAGCCCGGCUAACUACGUGCC